GACGAACGCUGGCGGCAUGCCUAACACAUGCAAGUCGAACGAGAACUUCGGGUCUUGGGGCGCACGGGUAGGUAACGCGUGGUAAGCAGCACUUGGGUUAGGAAUAAUUGACCGAAAGAGGUGCUCAUACCGGUUAGUGUCUUAGGGGCAACGAUUUAUCGCCUUGGGGUGGGCCCGGGUUAGAUUCGCUGGUUGGUAGGGUAAAAGCCUACCAAGGCCACGAUGCAUAGCUGGUCUGAUAGGAUGAUCAGCUACACUGGGACUGCGACACGGCCCAGACGCCUACGGGAGGCAGCAGUGGGGAAUAUUGGACAAUGGGCGAAAGUCUAAUCCAGCCACGCCGCGUGAGUGAUGAAGGGCUUAGUGUUGUAAAGCUCUUUUACCCGGGACGUUAAUGACAGUACCGGGAGAAUAAGCACCGGCUAACUCCGUG
rnacentral:rRNA from 1 species